rnacentral:misc_RNA from 1 species
AAAGUUUUUCGACUUCGCUAGUUUUUCUUUCUGUGAUAAAAAAAUCGUAGCUUAGCUUUUAUGUUUUUUUCAUUGAACUUGUGAUGUGGCCUUAUAAACUAUAAACCAUUUUGUCUGCAUAUUAUUUUAGAAUGUGUAUAGAGUGCGGUGUAACUGAAGUGGUUUUGUAUUUUUAUGUGCGGUUAAUGCAUUAGUGUCAUUGUGAGAUCACGAUGCGUAUCGGUUUCGUGUUAUAUUGGUGCGUAUUUGCUUUUCAUCUGUGUAAAGCGGAUGAUGUGGAGAGGACAGAGACCAGGGAUAGUGGCAGAAGGCAGCAGUGGGGCCCCGUGGUGCGCAGCGGGUCGUUUAUGAGCGACUCCGCGGUCGCAGCAUCAAACGAACAGAUUCUGUUCGAGGCUUGCCACAAUGAGCCCGCGUGCCUGCAGGAUCGUGCCGGCCUCGAAGCCAUCACGCAGCUGCACAGGCAGCUCGAUGAUGAUGCCAACGGAAACGUAGACCUUAGCGAGAGUGAUGAUUUCCUCCGUGAGGAGUUGCAGUACGACAGCGGGUACGAGAAGCGUCAGCGUGCCUUCCACCACAAUGAUGAUAUGCACAUCUCUGUUAAGGAGCUUUGGGAAGCUUGGCUACGAUCUGAGGUGCACAACUGGACAGUAGAACAGACUGUGGAAUGGCUGUCGCAGUCCGUAGACCUGCCUCAAUACAAGACCUUGUUUCUGCAGCACAAAGUCACUGGAGCUACCUUGCCUAGAUUGGCAGUAAACAACAUGCAGUAUCUUAGCAACGUGUUGGGCAUCAAAGACCCUAUCCACAAACAGAAGUUGGCACUCAAAGCAAUGGAUGUCGUCCUCUUCGGACCCCCUAAAGAAGGCAGUAGAUGGAAGGACUGGCUCCUCGCAUCCCUGCUCCUGCUGGCGGUCGUGGGCGGAUGGGCGGCCCUGCGCGCCGGUCGCGCCAGCCGUCACCAAGUCCAGCGAAUGCUGCGGGAUAUGGAACAGCUUCGGAAGGCGGAGAUGGCACUCAACGAUAUGCAGAAGGAAUUAGAGAAAGCACGUUUGGAACAGGAGAACGUGACGACAGAAAAGAAGAAUUUGGAGAAGAAGCUAAGAGAGGCAGGUGACACGCCGCUACUGAACUCUGCAUCAUCAGACCUUGAAGUCACACAGCUCAAAGCUGAGAUUGAGAUGUUACGAGCAGAGCUCCGUCGCGCGGAGGGCGAGUUGGAAGACAGAUGCUGGGCACCCCCGCCCGGCUUACAACAAUGGUUGCAACUGACACAUGAAGUGGAAAACAGAUCGUAUUUACGCAAGAAACAGCAGGCAGACUUGCAGUUACAGCAGGCGAGAGAAGCAUGCGAGAAGCUCCGCAAGAAGCGGUCUAGUCUGGUGGGCGCGUUUGUGUCGACGCACGGCAAGUCCAUCGACGACGUCGACCGCUCCAUCGUCGAGGCCAGGACUGCGCUCAACGAAGUCACCCAGGAGUUACAGGAACGCAUGCAUAGAUGGAAACAGAUUGAACGUUUAUGCGGCUUCAAUAUCAUCAAUAACAAUGGUCUUCAGUACCUAGAGACUGCACUCUAUAGGAAUGCUAAUGGCCGACCAACGGGACGAGGUCGCAUCAGCAGUUCUCAGGAUGACCUGAGUAUCGGCGACGAUGCGUCCAUAUGCGGCUCAGUGGCUGAUAACUUCAUAUGGCGGGAAGAUUCCUCGGGCAGCGAAGCGGACGCCCCACACUACCCCCUAGACCUUAGACUCGCUGAGGCUAGAUUACAACUGGAGGAGCGUUUAGCGCAAGAGGCGCGGGAACGCAGGCAGGACGACCGACGCGGCGCCAGGGCCUCGUACUCCGACCUGCGCAGCACUGCCGACGACAGGGCCAAGGAACAAGUCCACUUUAUAUUAGGAGGGGAUAACGUGAACUGGACCGGCGAGGAGAGCCCCCGCGCGACGGAGUUUCCCCGCGCGGUGACGUCACUGUCGCAGCCGCAGCUGCGCGCGUCGCUGCGCGGGGCGGGUGGGGCGGGCGCCCCGCUGGGCGGUGGGGCGGGCGCCCCGCUGCCGCCGCCCCGCCGCGCCGCGCCGCCCGCCAUGGCGCGCUCGCGCAGCUCGGACGUGGUGGCGCUGGCGAGCGACGACCCCCGCCCGCCUCCCAGGAACGCUUUCACUAAGCAGAAGACUCUUGCUGAAGACACCCCAACCCCUUCAAGCAACACACCUCCCGAGGAAGAGUCAACAGACUCGUCACUAAUGGACGACGAAGGCCUCCCGAAGCUUCGCAAGCGUCGCAUCCACCUCCCAUUCGGUAAGAAAGCGAAGACCCCCGCGUGACCCCCACGAGACCCCCUAACGGACAACACUAGCCACGGCUGAACGAAGCGUCUCAAUAUCUAGGCCCGGUUUCAUUCGUUACCGAUAAAAUGUCAGUUAGAAAUGACUAGCGGAGAUGUCAUAACGCAUAAUCUCCUAAGAAAGUAGCGCGCCAAAAUGCGGGUGUUCGGGGGACGAGAAACGUUACCAGCUCCACGCUUACAAACCUUCUUUGGCACCUACCAUGAUAUUCAAAAUAAAAUCACCAGUCAAUAAAGACCAGUCUUUGAAAGUUUCGUUUUCACUAGACAACGCACCCGAAUAUCUCGUUAGUUCCAGUAACUGAUAACGGCUACUGUACGUUACUUGACCUAAAAGAAGGCCUACUAUCCUUAUGGUAUCUCCGCUCCUCUUUUCUACCUCUGUGGUUAUCUGAUAGUUAAUGAUAUCACCCAGAUAACGCCUGCUUAUAAUUUCUGCCAGAUGUAAGCUAUUCAAGACCUGUGAAACUAAAGUUAUAUCUGUCAGAUAAGUUCCUUAUAGUAUCAGAGACUUUAUCAAUAACCGUUGAAACUGGCCAUUAGUACAACAAAUGUACAAGGUAAGGUAUAUAAUCUGAUGUCUCUUAAGCAAGGAAAAUGUAAGGGAACGAAACAAACCUUCAUUGAAGUUUCUACAUGUACUAAUAGAAAAAGAGUGUAAAAAUGGUAACUAUUUUGGCAAUAAAUUACAAUAUAAGUUGGGCUUCCCAUAAAAUUAUUAGGAAAAAGACAGCUCCAUAUUGUGGCAACAUUACAUACUUUAUAACAUAGACAACAGAAUAAAAUGUCAUAAACUGCAAUUUUUUAAAUGUUGACACAAUAUGAACUUAUUGUAUGGCAUAGGAAACUAAUUUAUUAUUCGGCCUAAUGAAAAGUAACUUUAGUACGAAGUCAAUUGUAAAGCCAAAAACGUGGAAAAGGCCAGUAAGAUGAAAUAAUAUAAUAAUUACCUCAUAAUGUCAAUUACAGUCACCAUCACAGAUAUGCUAUCCCUUAGAUAAUGCAAGUUUUAAACAAAUGUCAACUAAAAUCGAAAAGGAUUUUUCCUUUAUUUUUCCACUGAUGACAGCUCAAUAAAAAAUAACAAUUGUAUCAGACUUGUCUAAAUCAUUUGCUACUCAGGCGAUCUAUCUCGUUCUAUAAGAAAUCACUUAGAAAAAUCAGUUUUAAGUAUAAGUACCUUCAAACAUGAAAUAACUACAGCAUUAUCUAAGUCCGGCCUAAUCUGUGGUGUUUAUUUGAGUAAAAUGGUGUGACAGCGCGCUUCGUCCCAGCUGUGAAUGAAACCUCGGUUGUAAUUCAGUUUGAUUUUCCCCCUAAAAUAUUAAUUUGCACGUUUGCCAGUGUGACUACACGUUUAGUAGUAGUUUUUAUUCGCACAUAAAUUUUGUAUCUAUAUAUGUAUGUACUUAAAAUUAAUUAUCAACCCUUUGGUAGACUAUCAGAUUGAAUUGUAGUAAUUAUGUUUAUUUUAAUGUAAUUCAGAAACUACUGAUAAUUUUACGUGUCAAUUUUCAAUAGAUUUUAUAUUUCUUUGCAAAAGUGUUGCCAACAAUUAAUACCAGUAUUUUCAGUAUUGCCCAACUCUAUAGAAAGAGAUUAUUUCAUUAAAAAUGGCCUGAUAUUACAUGAAAUCUGUAAUUUUGCGUGUUUGUACAAUAAACUAUGCCUAUAAUGUAAGUUAGUAAAUAUUGAUAAUAUGAUAUAUAUCUAAAUUAUUCAUCAUAAUAGUAAAGAGGUAUGAAAGACAUUAAUUUCGUAUGUUAAUUUUCGACUGCGCACUUUUCAUAUAUAUGUCGCCGGAAAAUAACAAGAUCCGUAAGUUUAUAAAUUUACUAGGAAGUUUAUAAACUUUCGUAAGAUUCUAAACGGGAGAUAAAUUUAUCAAUUUCCGACGUCAUACGGUAAAUUUAUAAACUAACGAUUAUCUAUUCGUAAGAUUUUAUAUGGUUCGACCAAUCACAGAAACUCUUUUAAAUAUACGAUCUUUGAAAUACGGAAAAUAACACACUGCUCUCUGAUUGGUCUAUGUUCAUAGUGGCAAUGCUUGUCUCCAUAGGGCGGCCGCGAGGAAGGAGAAGUGACACGUGACAGCCAACCAAUCAGAUCGCGCGUAGCGUUUGGUUACUGCUUACUUAUUAUUUUACGAGUGAGUUCAGUAAGUUUAUAAAUUUACGAAAAUGUGGACGUAAAAUAUUACAAUUUAUCUCCCGUUUAGAAUCUUACGAAAGUUUAUAAACGUCCUAGUAAAUUUAUAAACUUACGGAUCUUGUUAUUUUCCCGUGACAUAUACACUAAUGAUUAGUUUUUUUUUCUCUAUAAUCAUAUUUACAAGUAUAUUGUGUAAAGACAGUUUAAUAUUUUGUCCAAUUUUGGAAUGUUGUCUUCUGCAAUCAUUUUCUUCCAUCAAAUCUCCAAUCCUGUUUUUUUUUAACGAUUUACGAAUACAGGUUGUAAAUAACCAAUUAUUUUAUUUUUGUUAUUACGAAGUCAGGCUGGGAGCCCGAAUUUUGUGCAAACAUAUUCUACUUAUUUUUUAAAGAUCAUUGUGUUACAAUAUAAUUUCACUUUAUUUUUAUAUUGUUUUCGUAUUAAAUUGUUUAUUUUUAAACUGAUGACUGCCUAAUGUGUGUUUCUUUGCUUUUUGAUCCUUUGUUGUGAAUUAGAACUUUUACAAUAUUACCAGUGUCAUGAUCAUGUCUUCCACAUACAUUGUAUAAUGCACAUUUACAUAUACAAGUUAGUUAUAUGUUCGUUUUAUCUGAAUUGACUUGGCCUGUCGACUAGUGAAAUGAGCGCUCAGUUAUGUUGUGAUUAUUAUAGUGUUGCGGCGUUUCGGAAAAUAACUAGUUUUUAUUUAUUUAUUAACAAUUGUCAUAGCUAGUGGGAAGAUAUACGUAAUUUAUGCAGAAUUUCUUAAUUCUCUUCGUUGUUUUAACCUAAAAACUGUCAAAAUUUCCCGAAACGCCGCGUUUGUAAAUCAUUUGCUAGAAUAAAAUAACUAAUCGCAGUAUAAGUUACUAUAUUAACACGAGUUUACCAUAUCGCAUCAUUCCCUUUUUUUGCGUAAUUAUGAUACGAUAUUAUCGACCUUUAGCUAUAUGUAUAGAGUUAUUUGUAAGGCAACUUGGUGCUAAAUGAAAGUUCUCAGACUGAUCACCGCAUGGCUCAAAUUUUUGUAUGAAUUUUUAAUAUUCUGUUCGUUUCUAUGUGGUUUUGUACUAAAUCGUUAACGUGUUUAGCUCCUGGCCUUAAAGUAAAUUGGCGUAAAUUGUCUUAGAGCCUUAUGUUAGUUUAAUGUUCUCACACGUGUAACAGCAAUUUAGAUGACGCAACCUUGCCUAUAGGAAAUACAGUCUCAUGUAUGGUUACGCCCACAAUGCAGUAUCAUGAAGAUCAGUAAUUGCCUAUCUAAGACAUAAAAAUCGUAUUUCUAAGACAUAAAAAUAGUUGUAACUUUUACUGUAAAUCUAUAAUACGCUCCAUUUUACGCCAAUAACAGUCAACAAAACAGUAUCAUAGUUCAACUAAGGCUAUACGUAAAUAUUGUAGUGUGAUUUCCCAGUUGUCUCCGUAGUGAAAUGUUAAGAAAUUCGUACUUAAUGAAAUUAAUUGUGUAAUGCAGAUGUUGAGUACAAAAGUUGAGUAAUUAACAAGUGGUUACAGAAACGCCUAGUUACACUUGUUUUCGGCAUGAAUUUUAGACAUAUUUUUAAUUAUUUAGUUAAUUUUCAAGAUUGUUUUAUGGCUUUGAACUUUAUGACGAAGGAAUAUCUGUUUAGAUAAUGCGUAAUGAUUAUAUCUGCCCAUAGGUUUUCUUUAGGUCACAAACUUGCCUUACAUAAAGUUGGAAGCCAUAAAAUGGAUGAGAUUUUUCACGAAAUGUAUAUUUUGUAGACCCCAGAUCUGAUCGCGUUGUAAAGACAAAUCGUGAUAAAUAAAUUGUUACAAUCAUUGAAAGUUAAUAAAUUGAUAUUACAAA